rnacentral:lncRNA from 1 species
AUUGUUGACAUUAAUGAACUUUUAGCCGUAUCAAUGUGGUAUGUUUGUGAGGCCUAUUACUAACACACAGUGAUGAGGGGAAACAUUUGUGGAUCUCCUGUUUGGACGUUUCUGUCAAUAAAAAAACAAAAAAAACGUGCUUCUCCCUUACAGUAAAAGUUUUCAUAAAAGCAGUAAUCUGGACUGGGUUGUUUAGAAUUGAAGACGUUACACUUCUAAUCCAAGAUUCUUCUUCAACUGAACGGCACAGGUGAGGUCUUUCUGUGUGGAGUUUUCAUGUUCACCCUGUUGUCUGCAUACGUUUCCCCUACCUUUUACAUGUACAAUAGUGUCUCGCCUGGGGGCCACAACUCCCCAGAUAAAAUAAAUAAAACGCAGAAUCCCCUGGUUUGAAAAUCAUGAUCAAUAUCUGUUUACUUUUGAAGUUAUAUUUCGAGCCCCCUCCUCUGGUCAAGAAUUAAACCUUUAGCUCCACCCUGUUGUUCACCCUAAAUUUCUGAACAAUCCAGUCCAGAUGAAAAUACUCUCCAAUUAUACACCUCCUAAGAUUUCGCCGUUUAGAUUAGAGGUGAUCUCCCGUACGAUGAAAUGAUUCAACGCUCGUGUGUGUCCAGGUGACUAACGACCGCCUGUGGAAGCUAGUGUACAACGAGCUCGGCGGUUGCCCGGGCAGCACCAGCGCGGCCACCUGCACGCGGCGCCACUACGAGCGCCUCAUGCUGCCCUACGAGGAGCAUCUCAGGGCGGGGGGCAUCGAAAUCCGCAUCCCAGAAUUCACCCUGCCCCCGCGGCCCAAAGGCAUGCGAGGCAGGAAACCCGGACGGAAACCAGGACCGAAGCCCAAAGACAAGAAGCCCGCCACGCCCUCGGCUCCCAGGACAAUUGUGAACCCCGACGGGACGGUGGUGGUGAAGCGCGGCCGUGGGCGUCCUCCGGGAAAGAAGAACAAGGCCACUCUGAUUGCUCAGGCCAAACUGCUCGCCCAACAACAAGCCAAAAACAGGACCGCAGUCGGUGCGGGCAAGACUGGACUCAACCAAGAGGCAGGCCCCCCUCAAUACACAGGGUAAGGACUAAACUCUGCGUCUGUCAAAUAUAAGCUGUUUUCGCAUUUCUUU